CCCCAGGUCAGGCGGGACUACCUACUGAGUUUAAGCAUAUAAAUAAGAGAAGGAGAAGAAACUUACGAGGAUUCCCCUAGUAACGGCGAGUGAAUCGGGAGAUGCCCAGCUUGAGAAUCGGGCAGCCGCAUCGUCCGAAUUGUAGUUUGGAGAGGCGUCCUUAGCGACGGACCGGGCCCAAGUCCCCUGGAAAGGGACGCCUGGGAGGGUGAGAGCCUCGUCCGGCCCGGACCCUGUCACCCCACGAGGCACCAUCAACGAGUCGGGUUGUUUGGGGAAUGCAGCCCAAAUCGGGCGGUAAACUCCAUCCAAGGCAAAAUAGAGGCGAGAGACCGAUAGCGAACAAGUACCACGAGGGAAAGAUGAAAAGGAUUUUGAAAAGAGAGUCAAAGAGUGCUUGAAAUUGCCGCGAGGGAAGCAGAUGGGGGCCGGCGAUGCGCCCUGGCCAUAUGCGGAACAACUUUGGCUGGUCCACCAAUCGGCUCGAGGCGUGGAUUGUUGUCGGCCGCCCGGCGGCCAAAGCCCGAGGGCCUCACGCCCCCGGUAGCCAUCGUCAGUGCAGCCGGUCACCGCGCAUCUCUGGCGCGCCCCUCGGGGCGCCACACUACAAUGGCCUGCGGGUCCCCAUCCGACCCGUCUUGAAAGAUGGACCAAGGAGUCUGACAUGCGUGCAAGUCGACGGGUUCUGAAACUUGGGAUGCGCAAGGAAGCUGACGAGAGGGAGGCCCCUACGGGCUACACCGCUGGCCGACCCUGAUCUUCCCUCCCUGCAAAUCGUUCGUCUGACUUGGGUAUAGGGGCGAAAGACUAAUCGAACCAUCUAGUAGCUGGCUCCCUCCGAAGUUUCCCUC
rnacentral:rRNA from 1 species